rnacentral:tRNA from 1 species
GCCUGGGUGGCUCAGUCGGUUAAGCAUCUGACUUCAGCUCAGGUCAUGAGCUCACGGUUUGUGGGUUUGAGCCCCGCGUCGGGCC